rnacentral:rRNA from 1 species
CUCCUACGGGAGGCCGCAGUGGGGAAUAUUGGACAAUGGGCGCAAGCCUGAUCCAGCAAUGCCGCGUGGGUGAAGAAGGUCUUCGGAUUGUAAAUCCCUUUCGGCGGGGACGAUGAUGACGGUACCCGCAGAAGAAGCUCCGGCUAACUUCGUGCCGGCAGCCGCGGUAAUC